CACGCCAAGGUCGAACGAGGUCCAUGGAGUAGCAAUACUCCGGAAGACCUAGUGGCGAACGCGKUGCGUAACACGUGAGGAACUUGUCCCGGUCUCUGGGAUAACAGUUGGAAACGACUGCUAAUACCGGAUGACGUCGGAGCGUCGCAUGGCGCGCUGACGAAAGGGUUACUGGAUCGGGAGAGCCUCGCGGCCUAUCAGCUUGUUGGUGGGGUAACGGCCCACCAAGGCAUCGACGGGUAGCUGGUCUGAGAGGAUGAUCAGCCACACUGGGACUGAGACACGGCCCAGACUCCUACGGGAGGCAGCAGUGGGGAAUCUUGCGCAAUGGGCGAAAGCCUGACGCAGCAACGCCGCGUGCGGGAAGAAGGCUCUCGGGUUGUAAACCGCUUUCAGCAGGAACGAAAAUGACGGUACUUGCAGAAGAAGGUGCGGCCAACUACGUGCCAGCAGCCGCGGUGACACGUAGGCACCAAGCGUUGUCCGGAUUUAUUGGGCGUAAAGAGCUCGUAGGCGGUUCGGUAAGUCGGGUGUGAAAACUUGGGGCUUAACCCCAAGCCUGCAUCCGAUACUGCUGUGACUAGAGUUCGGUAGGGGAGUGGGGAAUUCCUAGUGUAGCGGUGAAAUGCGCAGAUAUUAGGAGGAACACCGGUGGCGAAGGCGCCGCUCUGGGCCGAUACUGACGCUGAGGAGCSGAAAGCGUGKGUAGCAAACAGGAUUAGAUACCCUGGUAGUCCACGCCGUAAACGUUGGGCACUAGGGUGUGGGUUUCCAMCCMACGAAAAUCCGCGCCSGUCGCUAACGCAUUAAGUGCCCUCKCUUGGGGAGUACGGCCSGCAA
rnacentral:rRNA from 1 species